AAAUUGAAGAGUUUGAUCAUGGCUCAGAUUGAACGCUGGCGGCAGGCCUAACACAUGCAAGUCGAGCGGAAACGAGUUAUCUGAAUCUUCGGGGGACGAUA
rnacentral:rRNA from 1 species